UCUCCCAUCCAAGUACUAACCAGGCCUGACUCUGCUUAGCUUCCAAGAUCAGACGAGAUCAGGCGUGUUCAGGGUG
rnacentral:sRNA from 1 species